rnacentral:rRNA from 1 species
UACGUAGGGUGCGAGCGUUGUCCGGAAUUACUGGGCGUAAAGAGCUCGUAGGUGGUUUGUCGCGUUGUUCGUGAAAACUCACAGCUUAACUGUGGGCGUGCGGGCGAUACGGGCAGACUGGAGUACUGCAGGGGAGACUGGAAUUCCUGGUGUAGCGGUGGAAUGCGCAGAUAUCAGGAGGAACACCGGUGGCGAAGGCGGUGAGCUGGGCAGUAGCUGACACUGAGGCGCGACAGCGUGGGGAGCAAACAGG